UACGGGGGGGGGCUAGCGUUGUUCGGAAUUACUGGGCGUAAAGGGCGCGUAGGCGGCCUACUAAGUCGGACGUGAAAUCCCUCGGCUCAACCGGGGAACUGCGUCCGAUACUGGUGGGCUCGAAUCCGGGAGAGGGAUGUGGAAUUCCAGGUGUAGCGGUGAAAUGCGUAGAUAUCAAGAGGAACACCUGCGGCGAAGGCGGGUUGCUGGGCCGACACGUGACGCUGAGGCGCGAAAGCCAGGGGAGCGAACGGG
rnacentral:rRNA from 1 species